AAAAAAGGGAGAAGUUGUUUGUAGAGGGGGUUGUCAUCUCUGUGACCCAGAGCAAGGACAAGAGCAGUUAAGAGUAAAAGCUGACAUCGGCCAGAAUUUAAGGAAUGAAUAUAUCUCUAUUCAGGGAUGCACCGGCAGUUCUAAUGCAGCAAAAAUGUGUAUCUCCUCACUGAAAGGUUUGUGGGUGUCUGUAAAGACAGUUUACUAGUUAUCAGCUGAAGGUUACUGUCAGUGUAACAGAAGGGUUCCAUACUCACCAACAUGGCAACCAUGAAAGUACCUCCGAGCAUAUAAAACUCCGCUUUUUUUUUUUUUAAAUAUAUGACAAUGCAGAAUUGUCAGUGGUUUUAAACAAAUGUUCUAUGUUGAUGCCUUUAACAAAGUAAUAAGGAAAGAGAUGG